rnacentral:rRNA from 1 species
GUGGGGAAUUUUGGACAAUGGGCGCAAGCCUGAUCCAGCAAUGCCGCGUGCAGGAAGAAGGCCUUCGGGUUGUAAACUGCUUUUGUACGGAACGAAACGGUCCGGGUUAAUACCCUGGGCUAAUGACGGUACCGUAAGAAUAAGCACCGGCUAACUACGUGCCAGCAGCCGCGGUAAUACGUAGGGUGCAAGCGUUAAUCGGAAUUACUGGGCGUAAAGCGUGCGCAGGCGGUUUUGUAAGACAGGCGUGAAAUCCCCGGGCUCAACCUGGGAAUGGCGCUUGUGACUGCAAGGCUGGAGUGCGGCAGAGGGGGAGGGAAUUCCGCGUGUAGCAGUGAAAUGCGUAGAUAUGCGGAGGAACACCGAUGGCGAAGGCAAUCCCCUGGGCCUGCACUGACGCUCAUGCACGAAAGCGUGGGGAGCAAACAGGAUUAGAUACCCCUGUAGUCC